CUACGGAGGGUGCAAGCGUUAUUCGGAAUCACUGGGCGUAAAGGACGCGUAGGCGGGUUGGCAAGUCAGAUGUGAAAUCCUACAGCUUAACUGUAGAACUGCAUUUGAAACUGCUAACCUAGAGUAUGGGAGGGGGAGAUGGAAUUAGUGGUGUAGGGGUAAAAUGCGUAGAUAUCACUAGGAAUACCGAAAGCGAAGGCGAUCUCCUGGAACAUAACUGACGCUAAGGCGUGAAAGCGUGGGGAGCAAACAGGAUUAGAAACCCUAGUAGUCC
rnacentral:rRNA from 1 species